rnacentral:rRNA from 1 species
GACGAACGCUGGCGGCGCGCUUAACACAUGCAAGUCGAGCGAAGCGGCGGACGGGUGAGUAACCCGUGAGUAACCUGCCUUAGACAUUGGGAUAGCCUCGGGAAACCGGGAUUAAUACCAAAUGGUCUAAGAUGGACUCGCGUCCCAUUAGCUAGUUGGUGAGGUAACGGCCCUCCAAGGCGACAAUGGGUAGCCGGCCUGAGAGGGUGAACGUCCACCUUACCCAUAACAACCAUUCCAAACUCUACGUAAUGCAGCAGUGGGGAGUAGUGAACAAUGGAGGGAACUCUGAUCCAGCGACGCCCCAUGUACGAAGAAGGCUUUCGAGUCGUAAAGUUCUUUUAUAUGGGAAGCGGUACCAUAAGAAAGAGCCCCGGCUAACUACGUGCCAGCAGCCGCGGUAAUUC